rnacentral:rRNA from 1 species
GAUGAACGCUGGCGGCGUGCCUAAUACAUGCAAGUCGAGCGAACAGACGAGGAGCUUGCUCCUCUGACGUUAGCGGCGGACGGGUGAGUAACACGUGGAUAACCUACCUAUAAGACUGGGAUAACUUCGGGAAACCGGAGCUAAUACCGGAUAAUAUAUUGAACCGCAUGGUUCAAUAGUGAAAGACGGUUUUGCUGUCACUUAUAGAUGGAUCCGCGCCGCAUUAGCUAGUUGGUAAGGUAACGGCUUACCAAGGCAACGAUGCGUAGCCGACCUGAGAGGGUGAUCGGCCACACUGGAACUGAGACACGGUCCAGACUCCUACGGGAGGCAGCAGUAGGGAAUCUUCCGCAAUGGGCGAAAGCUUGACGGAGCAACGCCGCGUGAGUGAUGAAGGUCUUCGGAUCGUAAAACUCUGUUAUUAGGGAAGAACAAAUGUGUAAGUAACUAUGCACGUCUAGACGGUACCUAAUCAGAAAGCCACGGCUAACUACGUG